rnacentral:rRNA from 1 species
UACGUAGGGAGCAAGCGUUAUCCGGAUUUAUUGGGUGUAAAGGGUGCGUAGACGGGAAUUUAAGUUAGUUGUGAAAUCCCUCGGCUUAACUGAGGAACUGCAACUAAAACUGAAUUUCUUGAUUGCGGGAGAGGAAAGUGGAAUUCCUAGUGUAGCGGUGAAAUGCGUAGAUAUUAGGAGGAACACCAGUGGCGAAGGCGACUUUCUGGACCGUAACUGACGUUGAGGCACGAAAGUGUGGGGAGCAAACAGG